GACGAACGCUGGCGGCGUGCUUAACACAUGCAAGUCGAACGGAAAGGCCCUGCUUUUGUGGGGUGCUCGAGUGGCGAACGGGUGAGUAACACGUGAGUAACCUGCUCUUGACUUUGGGAUAACUUCAGGAAACUGGGGCUAAUACCGGAUAGGAGCUCCUGCUGCAUGGUGGGGGUUGGAAAGUUUCGGCGGUUGGGGAUGGACUCGCGGCUGACCAGCUUGUUGGUGGGGUAGUGGCUUACCAAGGCUUUGACGGGUAGCCGGCCUGUGAGGGUGACCGGCGACAUUGGGACUGAGAUACGGCCCAGACUGGUACGGGAGGCAGCGGUGGGGAAUAUUGCACAAUGGGCGGAAGCCUGAGGCAGCAGCGCCGCGUGCGGGAUGACGGCCUUCGGGUUGUAAACCGCUUUCGCCUGUGACGAAGCGUGAGUGACGGUAAUGGGUAAAGAAGCACCGGCUAACUACGUG
rnacentral:rRNA from 1 species